rnacentral:rRNA from 1 species
CAGCAGCCGCGGUAAAACAGAGGGUGCGAGCGCUAAUCGGAUUUACUGGGCGUAAAGCGUGCGUAGGCGGCUUUUUAAGUCGGAUGUGAAAUCCCUGAGCUUAACUUAGGAAUUGCAUUCGAUACUGGGAAGCUAGAGUAUGGGAGAGGAUGGUAGAAUUCCAGGUGUAGCGGUGAAAUGCGUAGAGAUCUGGAGGAAUACCGAUGGCGAAGGCAGCCAUCUGGCCUAAUACUGACGCUGAGGUACGAAAGCAUGGGGAGCAAACAGGAUUAGAUACCCCUGUAGUCCCUGUCUCUUAUAC